rnacentral:rRNA from 1 species
GAUGAACGCUGGCGGCGUGCCUAAUACAUGCAAGUCGAGCGAACAGACGAGGAGCUUGCUCCUCUGACGUUAGCGGCGGACGGGUGAGUAACACGUGGAUAACCUACCUAUAAGACUGGGAUAACUUCGGGAAACCGGAGCUAAUACCGGAUAAUAUAUUGAACCGCAUGGUUCAAUAGUGAAAGACGGUUUUGCUGUCACUUAUAGAUGGAUCCGCGCCGCAUUAGCUAGUUGGUAAGGUAACGGCUUACCAAGGCAACGAUGCGUAGCCGACCUGAGAGGGUGAUCGGCCACACUGGAACUGAGACACGGUCCAGACUCCUACGGGAGGCAGAAGUAGGGAAUUUUCCGCAAUGGGCGAAAGCUUGACGGAGCAACGCCGCGUGAGUGAUGAAGGUCUUCGGAUCGUAAAACUCUGUUAUUAGGGAAGAACAAAUGUGUAAGUAACUAUGCACGUCUUGACGGUACCUAAUCAGAAAGCCACGGCUAACUACGUG